AGGGAAUAUUGGGCAAUGGGCGAGAGCCUGACCCAGCCAUGCCGCGUGCAGGAAGAAGGCUUUCUGAGUCGUAAACUGCUUUUGACAGGGAAGAAUAAGCACUACGUGUAGUGUGAUGACGGUACCUGCAGAAUAAGCACCGGCUAACUCCGUGCCAGCAGCCGCGGUAAUACGGAGGGUGCGAGCGUUGUCCGGAUUUAUUGGGUUUAAAGGGUGCGUAGGCGGCCGUUUAAGUCCGGGGUGAAAGCCCGCUGCUCAACAGCGGAACUGCCCUGGAUACUGGAUGGCUUGAGUACAGACGAGGUUGGCGGAAUGGACUGAGUAGCGGUGAAAUGCAUAGAUACAGUCCAGAACCCCGAUUGCGAAGGCAGCUGACUAGGCUGUUACUGACGCUGAGGCACGAAAGCGUGGGGAGCGAAC
rnacentral:rRNA from 1 species